CAACUGUUCCCCAGUGCUGGAGGUGAAAGGGUACAUUUUUCCUUUGGCACAUGGAAUGACUGAAUUUCAGCCACUUCACUGUUCUAGCAGAGCUUGUUCUUGUGGGAAACUUGAUCUGGAAGACAGAUGUAAAACACCUGUAGGAUGGCUCCCCUUGGUCCUGUUUCUUGACUUUGGCAGGAGCAAACACUUGGUACACGGGUCAGGUGCCCAGAGAGAGGCUGAUGAAGAAACCACAGUGACACCAUUCAGGACGUUGCUAAAUCGCUUCCCCCAUUAACUGGUGACAUUUGAGUUAAACUAAUGAGAAGCAUGUCUGCUGCAAUGCAGUACACAUUUAUUCUUGGAGACUGCUUUCUUCAGCUUAUUUACUGUUUUACCAACACUCUUAGUCACCAUUACAGCUGAUUAAUGAUGCCUUUCAUUAAAGGGAAACUAUUACAGACAUCCUUAUUUGAUCUACUUUGAAACUUUUCUAUUUCUGAUCAUCGUCUUCUGUCCUUCCUUUCUCCUCCUUCUCAUCUUUUCUCAGAAAUGAUAAGUGAGGCAAGAGAUAAUGCCUUCGCAGCCUUUGAGCAAUGGCUGUACAUAUGGCACAUGGUGAAAAUCAGACAAAAAAGUAAAGUGAUAUUCUUGAUAAAACAGGUACUUCUACAUUAAUAAUCUGCCAUCAUCUAAAUUGCCAUAAAAUCCUCAGCUAGACUGAUAUAAUCCUAAUGCCUUUUGCACAAUAGGCAGCUUUUAAAGUACAAAACUAUAUCUCUUCUCUGAUAUAAUCUGUCUUUUAGCAGAACUUGCUGUAUAAGGGAUGGCCUCAGGAUUUCUACACCUGGGGAUGUUCAGCUGCUUGCUUUAGGCUUAUCUGACCUUGCCUCUUUUAUAAGUAGCUCUCUAAAAGGAGUUUUUAGUAAUAUUAGAAGUGCAAAACACUCCGUUCCAAUUUUUUUUUAUUUAACAAAACUCAUGCAUGUGUGUUCUGAGGAUUUUUCCAGAAUUCUGGACAGACCCAUGGAUCUUCUGGAUGGGAAGCAGUGGCUGUACCCCCAUCAGGGGAUGUCUUUUUGAAACCAAUUGACUCCAUUUGAUUUUCUAUGCUGAUGUCUCAUUUUAUACAAUGAAAAUAAAAGGUGUAUUUUGGGCA
rnacentral:lncRNA from 1 species